rnacentral:rRNA from 1 species
GUGGGGAAUAUUGGACAAUGGGCGAAAGCCUGAUCCAGCCAUGCCGCGUGUGUGAAGAAGGUCUUCGGAUUGUAAAGCACUUUAAGUUGGGAGGAAGGGCAGUAAGUUAAUACCUUGCUGUUUUGACGUUACCGACAGAAUAAGCACCGGCUAACUUCGUGCCAGCAGCCGCGGUAAUACGAAGGGUGCAAGCGUUAAUCGGAAUUACUGGGCGUAAAGCGCGCGUAGGUGGUUCAGCAAGUUGAAGGUGAAAUCCCCGGGCUCAACCUGGGAACUGCCUCCAAAACUACUGAGCUAGAGUACGGUAGAGGGUAGUGGAAUUUCCUGUGUAGCGGUGAAAUGCGUAGAUAUAGGAAGGAACACCAGUGGCGAAGGCGACUACCUGGACUGAUACUGACACUGAGGUGCGAAAGCGUGGGGAGCAAACAGGAUUAGAUACCCGGGUAGUCC